GUUGGGACUACACAUGUGCCAUCACACUCAGCUUUUGUCUGUGAUCCAUGUGGAAACCAUUCUUCUGUGUAUAGUGUAAGGGAAACCACCUUUGCUUUGACAUAUGUGUGUAAACGGUAUUGUCUGUCGAACGUUGCCUCGUGAGUCAUAAAAAGAAACAUCCCAGCCUCUUUGUUAAGAGAAGUGCUGUCAAACUAUUUACAUUCUUACGAACAGACACAAGUCUACACAAAAUGACAAGCGCACAUUUCGGUGGCAACAGAUCAGCUGCUUCAGAAAUUUAUCUGGCUUGGGGAAGAGAUAUUAUUAACAAAAGCAAAUAUGGAACCACUCUGAGGAAUUACCAGCAGCUGAUGUAAAUUUUCACCUCAGAAACAGACCAGGUCCAGGGAGAAAAAAACUAGAGAGGUUUUGAUUCUCCUCCCACCGUCUGCCUUUCUUUUCCAAAGAAUAGAGAGCCUGCCCCAACUGGAAAAUCAGGUAGCUUCUCCCACACAGGAAGGGAUCUGCUGCCUGAGGCAGAAAGGGCUGCUUGGGUGCCUCUGUCCCCAGUGCCCCUUCAUUUCUGUCUUCCUACAUCCUCUUGAGAUUACAUGUUGAUUACAUUAUAUUCUAUUGUAUCGUACUACAUAAUACAGCAACACUGAAAGAAUGAAAGGAAACGGGAAAGGGAGUGAAUUGGCCUUUGCACCCUGAGGAUAGGAAGAGGGUGGUGGAUACUGGGACAGCCUGGUGGACCCAGCCCUCCCAGGGUUAUUAGAUGACAUUUGUCACGUACCAUUCCUGGCAGCAGCGGCAGGUCAGGGUGACCAGGAUCACCUAGGAAUGCAUGUACUUCUGACAGUCAUGAAACCAAGGCAUGAGAGCAAGAGAUAGUUUUGGGGUCUGGUAUCCAAAAAUUCAAAUUAGUAAAUUUCAUGUUAUGUGUAUUUUAUCACAAUUAAAAAAAAAAACUCAAACUUUAAACAUUCAGAGAUUUGUUUAAGGGGUAUAUGGCUCUGGUAUCCAUAAUGCUGUAAAAAGGGAAAUCUUUUAGUCCCUGAGGUGGACAGCAGCAAGUCCUAAGUCCUCCAAUCUGAUAAGCAUAGUGGGACAGAGGACUCCUCACUUGAGGACAUCUAGGUCGAAAACAAACAAAAAAAAUCACAAAACUUAUGAAAAUAUUCUAUAAUGUAGGAGGAGGCUAUUGCUCUUAAAAUGCAGAGAAAAAUCAUACUUUUGAAAAACAGUUAACUACAAGAAACAGGAAAUCUUUAGAAAACAUUCCCUUGGUGGACUCAAUGAAAUAUAAGAAAACACAAAAUAACAAAUGGAAAGUGAGAUGUAAAAGGCUACUUAAAUGCUUUCUGAGAUGUAAACUGAUACAGUAAGGUUCAGGCUGAGAGAAGAAAAUAAUUGUAAAGAAUAAAAAUGUAACCAAUUUACUGUUUUUGAUAGAGCACAACAGAGAAGUGACACUUCGGAAAAGUAAUUCAGUAACAUGGAAGACAAAUUUGAGAAGCCAUCCCAGAAAGCAGAGGAAAAAGACAAAGCCAAAAUCUGAAAGAGAAAUAAAGUUAUUAACUUGGGGAGGGGAUGGUGAAGAAAAGGCAGAAUAAGAACUAUGCGAGACAGAAAACAAAGAUUCACUUCACAAAAUAGAGGAAAAAUGUCUACAAAGCUUUAAGAAUAAAAAGAAA
rnacentral:lncRNA from 1 species